rnacentral:tRNA from 1 species
GAGGGUAUAGCUCAAGCGGUAGAGCACAUGCUUAGCAUGCACAAGAUCCUGGGUUCAAUCCCCAGUACCUCCU